UACGAAGGGGGGCUAGCGUUGCUCGGAAUGACUGGGCGUAAAGGGCGCGUAGGCGGCUCAUACAGUCAGAUGUGAAAUUCCUGGGCUUAACCUGGGGGGCUGCAUUUGAUACGUGUGGGCUUGAGUGGGGAAGAGGGUCGUGGAAUUCCCAGUGUAGAGGUGAAAUUCGUAGAUAUUGGGAAGAACACCGGUGGCGAAGGCGGCGACCUGGUCCUUGACUGACGCUGAGGCGCGAAAGCGUGGGGAGCAAACAGG
rnacentral:rRNA from 1 species